CCUACGGGUGGCAGCAGUGGGGAAUAUUGGACAAUGGGCGAAAGCCUGAUCCAGCCAUGCCGCGUGUGUGAAGAAGGCCUUCGGGUUGUAAAGCACUUUCAGUGGGGAAGAAAGCCUUGGGGCUAAUACCCUCGAGGAAGGACAUCACCCACAGAAGAAGCACCGGCUAACUCCGUGCCAGCAGCCGCGGGAAUACGGAGGGUGCGAGCGUUAAUCGGAAUUACUGGGCGUAAAGCGCGCGUAGGCGGUCUGAUAAGCCGGUUGUGAAAGCCCCGGGCUCAACCUGGGAACGGCAUCCGGAACUGUCAGGCUAGAGUGCAGGAGAGGAAGGUAGAAUUCCCGGUGUAGCGGUGAAAUGCGUAGAGAUCGGGAGGAAUACCAGUGGCGAAGGCGGCCUUCUGGACUGACACUGACGCUGAGGUGCGAAAGCGUGGGUAGCAAACAGGAUUAGAUACCCUAGUAGUC
rnacentral:rRNA from 1 species